rnacentral:rRNA from 1 species
UUGCACCGGGGAUUAGUGGCGAACGGGUGAGUAACACGUGAGUAACCUGCCCUUAACUCUGGGAUAAGCCUGGGAAACUGGGUCUAAUACCGGAUAUGACUCCUCAUCGCAUGGUGGGGGGUGGAAAGCUUUUUGUGGUUUUGGAUGGACUCGCGGCCUAUCAGCUUGUUGGUGAGGUAAUGGCUCACCAAGGCGACGACGGGUAGCCGGCCUGAGAGGGUGACCGGCCACACUGGGACUGAGACACGGCCCAGACUCCUACGGGAGGCAGCAGUGGGGAAUAUUGCACAAUGGGCGAAAGCCUGAUGCAGCGACGCCGCGUGAGGGAUGACGGCCUUCGGGUUGUAAACCUCUUUCAGUAGGGAAGAAGCGAAAGUGACGGUACCUGCAGAAGAAGCGCCGGCUAACUACGUGCCAGCAGCCGCGGUAAUACGUAGGGCGCAAGCGUUAUCCGGAAUUAUUGGGCGUAAAGAGCUCGUAGGCGGUUUGUCGCGUCUGCCGUGAAAGUCCGGGGCUCAACUCCGGAUCUGCGGUGGGUACGGGCAGACUAGAGUGAUGUAGGGGAGACUGGAAUUCCUGGUGUAGCGGUGAAAUGCGCAGAUAUCAGGAGGAACACCGAUGGCGAAGGCAGGUCUCUGGGCAUUAACUGACGCUGAGGAGCGAAAGCAUGGGGAGCGAACAGGAUUAGAUACCCUGGUAGUCCAUGCCGUAAACGUUGGGCACUAGGUGUGGGGGACAUUCCACGUUUUCCGCGCCGUAGCUAACGCAUUAAGUGCCCCGCCUGG